rnacentral:rRNA from 1 species
UACAGCGGGUGCGAACGUUGCCCGGAAUUACUGGGCGUAAAGCGCGUGUAGGCGGUCCGUUAAGUUGGUAGUGAAAUCCCAUGGCUCAACCAUGGAAGUGCUGCCAAAACUGGCGGGCUGGAGUGCCGGAGAGGGUGGCGGAAUUCCCAGUGUAGAGGUGAAAUUCGUAGAUAUUGGGAGGAACACCGGUGGCGAAGGCGAGUCCCUGGACGACACCUGACACUGAGGCACGAAAGCUAGGGGAGCAAACAGG